CGGCCCCAGGUCAGACGGGAUUACCUACUGAGUUUAAGCAUAUCAGUAAGUGGAGGAAAAGAAACGUGCUAGGAUUCCCCUAAUAAUGACGAGCGAACUAGGAAAAACCAAGCUUGAGAAUUAGGCACCAUUGGCAGAUGAAUUGUAGUCUAAAGAAGCGUCAUCUACGGCGGACUGGGCUCAAGUCCCUUAGAAAAGGGCGCUGGAGAGGGUGAGAGCUCGUCGUGCCCGGACCCUAUUGUACCACGAGGUGCUAUUUAAGAGUCGAGUUGUUUGGAAAUGUAGCCCUAAUUGGGCAGUAAAUUUCAUCCAAGGCUAAAUACGGGCGAGAGACCGAUAGUAAACAAGUACCUCGAGGGAAAGAUGAAAAGGACUUUGAAAUGAGAGUUAAAGAGUGCUUGAAAUUAAUGGGUGGGAAGCGAAUGGGGGCCGGCGAUACAUCCCGGUCAGAUGUAGAAUAGCGAGAACUGAUCCGCCGUGUGGCUCGAAGCGAGGAUCGACACGGGUCGUGGCAAAGGCCCAAGCCCGGUCUUUUGAUACGUCCGAGAAGAUAUUGUUGCCUUGGUCGUGGGAUUCAGCACACACCGUCUAAGCAUGCUUGGCACCUGCGGGCUCUCCAUUCAACUUGUCUUGAAACACGGACCAAGGAGUCUGACAUUUGUAUGAGUCAACGGGCUAGAAAACUCGUAAGGCGUAAGGAAAUAAAUUGGUGGGAUCCCUCAUGGGUGCACCGCUGAUCGACCUUGAUCUUUUGAGAAGGGUUCGAGUGAGAGCAUGCUUGUCGGGACUUGAAAGAUGGUGAAAUAUACCUGAGCAGGGUGAAGCCGGAGGAAACUUUGGUGGAGGCCCGCAGCAAUAAUAACGUACAAAUCGUUUGUUUGACUUGGGUAUAGAGGCGAAAGACUAAUCGAACCAUCUAGUAGUUGGUUCCUUCCGAAGUUUCCCUCAGGAUAGCUGGAGCUCUUAGCGAGUUCUAUAGGGUAAAGCCAAUGAUUAGAGGCACCGGGGACGCAACGUCCUCGACCUAUUCUCAAACUUUAAAUAGGUAGGAUGGUGUGGUUGCUUCAUUGAGCUGCGCCAUGAAAUCGAGAGCUCUAAGUGGGCCAUUUUUGGUAAGCAGAACUAGCGAUACGGGAUGAACAUGAAGUCAGGUUACGGUUCCCAACUGUGCAUUAACCUAGAACCCAUAAAGGGUGUUAGUUGAUUAAGACAGUAGAACAGUGGUCAUGAAAGUUGAAAUCCACUAAAGAGUAUGUAACAACUCACCUACCAAUCAACUAGCAUCGAAAAUGGAUGGAGCUUAAGCGCGUGACCUAUACCCGGCCGUCGGGGCAAGGGCCAAGCCACGAUGAGUAAGAGGGCACGGCGAUCAUCGUAAAACCUGGGCCACGAUCCCGGGUAGAGUGGCCGUCGGUGCAGAUCUUAGUGGUAGUAGCAAAACUUUGAAGGCCGAAGAGGGGAAAGGUUCCAUGUGAACAGAACUUGCACAUGGGUUAGUCGAUCCUAAGAGACAGGGAAAGCCCGUCCGAUAUCACGUCCAGCCCUAGCUUCGAAAGGGAAUCAGGUUGAAAUUUUUGCACCGGGAUGUGGCAGCUGACAGCAACAUUAGAGAGUCCAGAAAUGUCAGUGUCGACCUCAGGAAGAGUUAUCUUUUCUGUUUAACGGCUUGUCCACCCUAAAAAUUGCUCAGCCAGAGGUAGGGUCCAGCGGUCAGAAGAGCACCGCACAUCGUGCAGUGUUUGGUGUGCUCUUGGCGGCCCUUGAAAAUUUAGAAGACCGAGUGUCGUCCACGUCUGGUCGUACUCAUAACCAAAUCAGGUCUCUAAGGUGAAUAGCCUCUAGUCAAUGGAACAAUGUAGGCAAGAGAAGUCGGUAAAAUAGAUCCAUAAUGUAACAGCCCGAUUUUGGGUCUAGUCAGAACAGUGGUUUCUGGACCACAAACCCGACGAGAAAAAAAAAUUAUUUUUAUUAUAUUUUUAUAGUCUAUAAAUUUAUGAAAAUAUUUCGUAAAAAUUUCAUUCGAAAAUUUUGACGUUUGAGCACUCAAUUUAGUCAAAAGGACUAAAUUGUAAAAAGUGCAAAAGUUGAGUUCUUUAUAAUGAGGUGCCUAAUUGUUAUGAGUUUUAAAUUGAAAGUCCUUAUGUGAUAAUUAUUCCUUUAAUAAGUUAGUGAAUGGAUAUUUGU
rfam:Gossypium hirsutum cultivar TM-1 chromosome 7, whole genome shotgun sequence